rnacentral:misc_RNA from 1 species
AAGACUUGGUUCAUCCUCUUUACAAGUUCAAUCUCUCUCUCUCUCGCCUUUCCUUUAUCAACGGAAAAGAUAUGUUGUCUCCUAGAGAAACAAUUCACUACCCUUUCAAAUCCUGGAAAUUCCUGGUUUUUCCUUCUCUCAAAACAAGUGAUAUCUUCUCCUUAUUCGUAAAAGCAACUCUUCUUGUUGGCACCGUUGGUUCAAUCUCUCUUCUUUUAUACUCUGUUUUCUCUAACCAAUCUCAGUGGGCGUCUUGUCCGGAAUGCGAUCGUGUUUUACUAUCUGGUCACCGGAAGUUCAACAAGAGUAAUAAUAUUUCUGGUGGUAGCUAUCAAGAAACAAAUAUAUCCCAUAUUUUAUUUGGUAUUGGUGGCUCAUCAAGGACAUGGAAUCGGCGUCGGCACUACUGUGAGCUAUGGUGGAAGCCUGAAAUCACCCGAGGGUAUGUUUGGCUCGACGAGACGCCUCCAGAGAUGGAGCCAUGGCCGAAUACUUCCCCUCCUUAUAAAGUCUCAGAGGACACUUCGAGGUUCAAGUACAGCUGUCGGUACGGUUCUCGCUCUUCUCUGCGCAUUGCCCGUAUUGUUAAGGAAAGUUUUGAGCUAGGAUUGGAUAACGUGAGGUGGUUCG